rnacentral:rRNA from 1 species
GACGAACGCUGGCGGCGUGCUUAACACAUGCAAGUCGAGCGGAAAGGCCUCUUCGGGGGUACUCGAGCGGCGAACGGGUGAGUAACACGUGAGUAAUCUGCCCUUCACUCUGGGAUAGCCACCGGAAACGGUGAUUAAUACCGGAUACGACACGUCCAGGCAUCUGGUGCGUGUGGAAACUUUUUGGGUGGGGGAUGUGCUCGCGGCCUAUCAGCUUGUUGGUGGGGUAAUGGCCUACCAAGGCCUCGACGGGUAGCCGGCCUGAGAGGGGGACCGUGCAGACUGGGCCUACGACACGGCCCAGACUCCUACGGGAGGCAGCAGUGGGGAAUGUUGGACAAUGGGCGGAAGCCUGAUCCAGCAACGCCGCGUGGGGGGUGACGGGCUUCGGGUUGUAAACCUCUUUCAGCACCGACGAAGCGAUCCUUUGGGGAGUGACGGUAGGUGCAGAAGAAGGACCGGCCAACUACGUGCCAGCAGCCGCCGUAACAC